GGCGGUGUAGCUUAGCUGGUUAGAGCGUCCGGUUCAUACCCGGGAGGUCGGUGGUUCGACUCCACCCGCCGCUACCA
rnacentral:tRNA from 1 species